rnacentral:rRNA from 1 species
GACGUAGGGGACAAGCGUUGUCCGGAAUCAUUGGGCGUAAAGAGCGCGUAGGCGGCCCUGUAAGUCCGCUGUGAAAGUCAAAGGCUCAACCUUUGAAAGCCGAUGGAUACUGUGGAGCUAGAGUACGGAAGAGGCGAGUGGAAUUCCUGGUGUAGCGGUGGAAUGCGCAGAUAUCAGGAGGAACACCAAUAGCGAAGGCAGCUCGCUGGGACGUUACUGACACUGAGGCGCGAAAGCGUGGGGAGCGAACAGG